rnacentral:rRNA from 1 species
CCCCGAGCCUGGGAUAACCUGUCGAAAGGCGGGCUAAUACCGGAUAUGGCCGUAGGAGCAUCAGCUCUAGCGGUAAAAGGUGGCCUCUGCUUGCAAGCUACCACUGGGGGAGGGGCCUGCGGGCCAUUAGCUAGUUGGUGAGGUAAUGGCUCACCAAGGCGAAGAUGGCUAGCUGGUCUGAGAGGAUGGCCAGCCACACUGGGACUGAAACACGGCCCAG